rnacentral:rRNA from 1 species
UCGGGGAUAGCGGCGGACGGGUGAGUAACGCGUGGGAACGUGCCCUCUUCUGCGGGAUAGCCUCUGGAAACGGAGAGUAAUACCGCAUACGCCCUUUUGGGGAAAGAUUUAUCGGAGGAGGAUCGGCCCGCGUUGGAUUAGGUAGUUG